rnacentral:rRNA from 1 species
UACGAGGGGUGCAAGCGUUGCUCGGAAUUACUGGGCGUAAAGCGCACGUAGGCGGCUUUGUAAGUUAGAGGUGAAAGCCUGGAGCUCAACUCCAGAACUGCCUUUAAGACUGCAUCGCUUGAAUCCAGGAGAGGUGAGUGGAAUUCCGAGUGUAGAGGUGAAAUUCGUAGAUAUUCGGAAGAACACCAGUGGCGAAGGCGGCUCACUGGACUGGUAUUGACGCUGAGGUGCGAAAGCGUGGGGAGCAAACAGGG